rnacentral:rRNA from 1 species
AAGGGGAGGUCAUUACCGAGUUUACACUCCCAACCCCUCUGUGAACAUACCACUUGUUGCCUCGGCGGAUCAGCCCGCUCCCGGUAAAACGGGACGGCCCGCCAGAGGACCCCUAAACUCUGUUUCUAUAUGUAACUUCUGAGUAAAACCAUAAAUAAAUCAAAACUUUCAACAACGGAUCUCUUGGUUCUGGCAUCGAUGAAGAACGCAGCAAAAUGCGAUAAGUAAUGUGAAUUGCAGAAUUCAGUGAAUCAUCGAAUCUUUGAACGCACAUUGCGCCCGCCAGUAUUCUGGCGGGCAUGCCUGUUCGAGCGUCAUUUCAACCCUCAAGCACAGCUUGGUGUUGGGACUCGCGUUAAUUCGCGUUCCUCAAAUUGAUUGGCGGUCACGUCGAGCUUCCAUAGCGUAGUAGUAAAACCCUCGUUACUGGUAAUCGUCGCGGCCACGCCGUUAAACCCCAACUUCUGAAUGUUGACCUCGGAUCAGGUAGGAAUACCCGCUGAACUUAAGCAUAUCAUUUAAGCGGAGGAAUC